CGACCGGCGCACGGGUGAGUAACACGUAUCCAACCUGCCGUCUACUCUUGGCCAGCCUUCUGAAAGGGAGAUUAAUCCAGGAUGGGAUCACGAGUUCACAUGUCCGCAUGAUUAAAGGUAUUUUCCGGUAGACGAUGGGGAUGCGUUCCAUUAGAUAGUAGGCGGGGUAACGGCCCACCUAGUCAACGAUGGAUAGGGGUUCUGAGAGGAAGGUCCCCCACAUUGGAACUGAGACACGGUCCAA
rnacentral:rRNA from 1 species